rnacentral:rRNA from 1 species
CCGUAGUGGCGGACGGGUGAGUAACGCGUGAGUAACCUGCCUUUCAGAGGGGAAUAACGUUCUGAAAAGAACGCUAAUACCGCAUAACGUACAGUUACCGCAUGGUAGCAGUACCAAAGGAGCAAUCCGCUGAAAGAUGGACUCGCGUCCGAUUAGCUAGUUGGUGGGGUAAAGGCCUACCAAGGCGACGAUCGGUGGCCGGACUGAGAGGUUGAACGGCCACAUUGGGACUGAGACACGGCCCAG